rnacentral:rRNA from 1 species
GACGAACGCUGGCGGCGUGCCUAAUACAUGCAAGUAUGACGCAGUUGCUAACGUGUGAGUAACGCGUAGGUAACUUCCUAUUAGAGGGGGAUAACUAUUGGAAACGAUAUCUAAUACCGCAUACUAGUAGAUGGACCUGCGUUUUAUGAGCUAGUAGGUAGGUUAACGGCUCACCAUGGCCACGAUGCAUAGCCGCGCUGAGAGGAGGAUAGUCCAAAAUGGGACUGAGACACGGCCCAGACUCCGACGGGAGGCAGCAGUAGGGAAUCUUAGGCAAUGGACGAAAGCCUGACCGAGCAAUGCCGCGUGAGGGAAGAAGGUUUUCGGAUCGUAAAACUCUGUUGGUAGAGAAGCGGUAGCUAACCAGAAAGCCACGGCUAACUACGUGCAAGGAGCCGCGGUAAUAC